GGCAAAGGGGGCAGGCAGGGGAAGGCUGGGCCCCCGAGAGCAGGGCGGGGCCAGCGCGGCGCGCCCAUCGGAGCAGGACCGGCCGCGCUCUGCCGGGAGCCCAGACCGCCCCGUCGAGGGGACCGGCGCGCGGGAGAGCCGGCUGGGGCGGCGCCGGCGGGAGCCAGGGGCGCGCGGCCGCUCGGCGACCAGAACCAAGUCACUUUUAUUGCACCAUCCACCAGAGGCCUCACCUCUUCCCUAUAUGCAGCUUCAUCCUGGUAAUAGUUGAACACCAGAAGACAUGUGGAAGAGAAGAUUGGGAGCUCAGCUUGGACUGUGGAUGCCUUGGUGCUCUCUGAGCCUGGCGGUUUUCCUGCAGACAUUUCAUGACCCAACUAGAUUUCAAGCCAGGCCAUCUAGAGAACUAAAAAUUGAUGGAAAAUGAAGCUCCAUUUUUUUAACCAGACUGCUCCGCAGCUCGUCCAGUGCUGGUGCAUCUUUUCAAGGCAUCUUCAAGACAUGAGACUCCAAAAGGGGUCUGGCAGGGGCUUGAAACUCAAGCAUGAGCCAGCCAUGUGCAGCCGCCGCCAAAAAAGCCAAUGCAGUCCUAGGCUGCAUCAACAAAGGGAUCGCACCAAGAUUGUGUGAAGUUUUAAUACCGCUUUAGGAUGCUUUGGGCAGGAAUCCAGUGCACAAGCUCACCUGGGAGCAAAUUUUACACUAAGCGCAUAAACCAUUAGGCCAAGACUGAGCAGGUGACCAAUGAACGUAGACUAAAUGCCGAAGGAGUGCCUAAGAUGGAGUCCCUCUGAAGGGGUUGAGGUGAGACAAGGGACGAAGACUGAACUGCAAGACCAAUGUUGGAAAGCAGAGCGAACAGGACGGUGGAGGAGAAGAGGAAGACUGAGAAAGUUGUGGUUGGAUGGGGACUGUGAGAGAGAGAGAAAGAGAGAGAGAGAGAUGGUAGAUUAAGGAGGGGAGAGCAGAGAUGAUGUGCUGAGUGGAUAUGGGUGGAAGUGAGGAUAGCACCAUUCACUGAGGAAUAACAGGAGGGUCCAAUCUUGCUGGCUAGGGAAUUCUGGGAGUUGAAGUCCACAGGUGUUGAAGUGGCCAAGAUUAGACAAGCUUCAGGAGACAUGAACUGUUGAACUGAGGUGAUGCACAAAUUUCAAAAAUAAAAAUUUUCUUUGUUUCA